rnacentral:rRNA from 1 species
CGAAAGCCUGACGGAGCAAGACCGCGUGAGGGAGGAAGGCUUUUGGGUUGUAAACCUCUUUUGUCAGGGAAGAAGAUCUGACGGUACCUGACGAAUAAGCCUCGGCUAACUCCGUGCCAGCAGCCGCGGUAAUACGGAGGAGGCAAGCGUUAUCCGGAAUCAUUGGGCGUAAAGCGUCCGUAGGUGGCGAUGUAAGUCUGCUGUCAAAGACCACAGCUUAACUGUGGAAAGGCAGUGGAAACUGCGUGGCUAGAGUACGGUAGGGGUAGAGGGAAUUCCAGGUGUAGCGGUGAAAUGCGUAGAGAUCUGGAAGAACACCGGUGGCGAAAGCGCUCUACUGGGCCGAAACUGACACUGAGGGACGAAAGCUAGGGGAGCG